rnacentral:rRNA from 1 species
UACGGAGGGAGCUAGCGUUGUUCGGAAUUACUGGGCGUAAAGCGCACGUAGGCGGCUUUGUAAGUUAGAGGUGAAAGCCCGGGGCUCAACCCCGGAAUUGCCUUUAAGACUGCAUCGCUUGAAUCCAGGAGAGGUGAGUGGAAUUCCGAGUGUAGAGGUGAAAUUCGUAGAUAUUCGGAAGAUCACCAGUGGCGAAGGCGGCUCACUGGACUGGUAUUGACGCUGAGGUGCGAAAGCGUGGGGAGCAAACAGG